rnacentral:pre_miRNA from 1 species
AUUAGUAAAAUGGAGAUGUCUGUUUGCAAUACUAAGCUAUUCAGUUUAGUAUUGCAAACAGACAUGUCCAUUUUACUUAUU